GGCUCUUCCGCGUCGGGCGGGACUCCGCUCGGAUGCGGCCCUGGCUGCGCUGCCUGGGAGAGCCGCGUGUCCCCGCCGUGCCUCAUCUUUGCCGGCGGGCGCCUCACCUCCCGCUGGAAGCCUGAAAGCCGGAGGAAAGGCACGGCGUGCCCGUGGGGUGCCCCAGCCUGCCGACCGCGCCCGGGCAGGCCUCGCCCCCGACCCCCACCGGUUGCGUCUCCACCUGCGCACUGCGCCCCGCGGCUGCUUCGGGGUCACCCCCGGCGGCCGCCCCGGCCUUGCGCCGCCCCUGGGCCCGCGGGAGCGCCGCUGUGCUGCGGGGGGCCGGGCGUGGGCAGCGGGGCCCCCAGGAUGCGUCUCGGUGGGGCUCCCACGGAGAUACUGAUGCGAGCGACGUUUGUCCCCGGCCCGACACCGUGGAAGAAUGACUGGACCCUCAGCAGAGCCAGACGAUCUGCUGUCGGGCCCUUCCCGGCCCUGGCCCCCUGGAAAUGCCUGAAAUCUGCUUUACCGCUCUUUGGGUUUUUUUAAGGUGCGGGGGAUUGAACCCAGGGCCUUUGCGCUGACCCACGUGUCCAGCUCUUUCUUAUUUUGAGACAGGGUCUCAGCUGCUGGGGGUCACCGUGUAGAUUCAUUAGUAGAGAAAAUGCACUUAGCCCGGACUGUCCUGGUAGGCGAGGGGAUAAAGUCCAGGGGGAUCUGGAGAGAAUCCAGGAGGGGCCCCUGCAGCCAUCUGUCAGAUCCCUGGGAAUCGAGGGAACCUCCCCGAGGCGCUGUGAACGGGACUAAUGGGCUUUCUGCAGGCCACGUCCCUCGGUGCCGCUGCUGCGCCGUUGGAGAGUAAGCCUCCCAAAGUAGGCCUCCCCAAGACUCACCAGAAGCCCUGUUUCCCCUCCUGGAUAACCACAGGAGUUUAAAUCCUUCUCAGUUCCCCCGCACCACACCUCAGGCGGCUGGCUGUGGAGUCCCCGCCCUGACACCUGAACGAGUCCAUGACAGCCUUCAACUCCCAGUCGCCUAGAAAACCAAAAGGUGGAGAAAAAUGUUAAACGCCAUCCCAAAACGGGACCUGAAAAAUCUAGUCCGUACAAGAUACGAUACAAAAUACAGCAAAUGUUAAAAAAAAAAAAAAAAAGCUUUUUAAGAAAUUAUUACAGUAAAAGAUGCAUUCCCGUGAACACCCCUCAAAACACUGUCCAUUGGCCUGGCUGCUUUCUGAGGCAGCCCUGGGAGUCUUCAUGAGUGUCUAUAUGUGCUGUCCUGACUGCCUCAAUGUCCUGACCCCAUUCAGAAUGUUCACCUCUCAUGGUCAUUUUGACUUCGAGGAAAAGCCAGAAGCCACACGGUGCCAGGUCUGGUGAAUAAUGUGGACGAGGACACAGGGUCACGAUUUUAUCAGCUGCCUUUAUUUGGAGGGCGCUUGGCCGCAGCAUUCACCAUAUAUUUGAUCGCAUGUAAUAAAGACACUCAGGAAAGAAGACGAAGAACUGCUUUAGAAAGUAGCAAGAACAAUGGGAUAAGUGUGUUUAAAGGGAGGAGGGUAUUUUAAGGGGGGUUCAUGGCAAUGUGUCUUUUACUGUAAUUAGUUUGUAAUUUACAUUCACCAUAUAUUUUGAUCACGCCUUGUCGAUGGAUUAAGGGAAAAGAAAAAGAGAUGAAAGGAGAAGCUGAGAGUGAAGAGAUUUAAGAGAUAUAUUGACCAAUUCCAACAUGUGAAACUUGUGUGGACGUUUAUGAGGUAAUUCGAAACUUGAACACCAUAAGUGAUUGUAAACAAUUAUAUCUGUAGGCGUGCGAGUGUUAUUAUGAUUACGCUUCUUUAAAGUGCUCGUUUCAGAGACACACACUGGAACGUUUACAGAUGAGGCAGCAGGUGGAGAUGUUCACUAUAACGCAGACGGGGAGUGGGCUGAGAGCGACAGUCGCUGACCUGUGGGGCUUGGUUAAAGAGACAAGGUCACAUCAUGCCAGGAAAGAGGACCCAGCUUCCGGAAGGCCACGCGAAGGGGAUGAUUCAUGUGGAAAGAAUGUUCCCGGCACUGACAAAAACUAAACAACUUCAGAAAACUUUGUACAGCCUCCCAUUUUUUACAGUAUAGUAUCAGCGACAGGACGAAUCUCGGGUGGCACGGGGACAUCCGGCCAGCCAGGCCUUGCAACACCUGCUCGCCGCACACAGGAGCUCGGAGCUGUGUGCUCCACAAGACUCCUAAUGCACAGUGCCCGAGACGGCUGUAACGACAGCGAUGGUGACCACAGCCAGCCCGGAAUGGACAGGCUUUCGCUCAGCUUCAUUUGGGACCAGGUAACAAGCUCCUGUGGAUCCCCAUCUGCAACAGCAACCAAGGGCUGAGGCUGCGUCGGACGAACCCCAGACAUAAGACUGACAUAUGGUCAGUGCUUUCCACUCUGCCCACAAGGGUGAGACCCUGGGGCCACCUCACAGCGUGAUCAGGGUAAGUCGUGGAGGUGUGGUGGCUGCUGCCCUAUGGCCUGGGAUCACUCCAUGAGCUGAGAGUGAGGUGCUGAGGGUCCUGAGGAUGCUGCAACAGAGAUGCCUGUGCAUGAAGGACAGAGGGCUGUGAGGGACUUAGCUUGGAAGCUGGGCAUCUCAGUUGCAACUCAGCUUGAGCAACCCCAAGCCAAAAACGUCCAGCUAAGCUGCUCCCAACCUCCUGACCCAAGGAAGCUAGCUGUGCAGUAAUGAGAGAUUAUCACUAUAAUCUGUUAACUAUUAUGGCAACUUGUUACACAGCAAUAGCUUGCAAAUACACAUGGUCUCAAAGUAUCUCCUACAUAACACUUACCACUUACAGAGGGGAAGCUAGAAACUUUACAGUGGAAAAAAAGUAAAAAACAAAUACACCUUUGAGCAAACUUAAGGUUGCCAGAGAUGAGCUGCUUCAAAAACAGGAGCUCCUGAUAGGAAGUUCCAGGAACAAUGUGACAUAGCUUCUAGGUACUCUGGCCAAAAAUGUGUAACUCAGAUGUGACUACGUGAAAGCAUCAGGACACUAUAAAACUGCGGGACAUUCUAUCACAUAGCAGGCCAGAACACUUCAAAAGUGCUGAGGUCAUGAAAGAUAAAGACAGAGAGGUCAUCCCAGAUUAAAGGAGACAACAGAGAUGUGACAGCUGCGGGCCAGGAUCCCUUGAAUAUUAGUGGGCAGAAUGAUAGAAUUUGAGAAAAGUCUGUAGGUUGGGUGACAGCCUGGCACCAUUGUUAAUUUUACUGACUUCAUAUUCGUGACGAUUUGAUAACAUGUUUGUGAUGGAGGGAACUAGAAAAGAACAUAUGGAAAUCCUCUGGAUUAUUUUUGUCCCUUUUUUUAUGUUAGGAAAUUAUUUAAAAUUUUACAAGAUCAUUCAAUACUAAAGGUAAAGGAUAUUUUCAAAUAUUAAAACUUGGAAUAAUUCACUAUCAGCACUCACAAAAAGGAAAAGCUAGGAAGUGUUCUUCAAACAGAAGGAAACAGCAGAACCCUAAUUGGGAGCUCAGAGAUGCAGGAGUGAAUGACGAGGAAGAAAAAGGUAAAUCUUAAUGUUAGAAAAAAUCUCAUUAACCCCUGACUGUUUAAAUAGCACUAAAAACUCGUGUGGGCUAACAACAUACAGAAUUAAACUGUGAUAAUAAUAGCAUGAAAGUGGAACAAUGCUUACAUUGAGAAAAUUCUAAAAUCCUUGCAUCACCCAGGCAGAGGGUAAAAAUGCUUGAAUAACAUUAGCCUCAGUAGAUGAAUGUCACACUUUGUAAUCUCCAUAGUAACCACUUACCAAAAAAUGCUGUACAAUUUCCAGACUAAUAGGAGGAAUAGAAUAAUAAUUUUUAAAUAAUCAGCUUUAAAAAAGGAGAGCAGCAUAAAAAUACCAACACUGAGGGGGAAGAAAGUAGAUUUACUUCCAGUUGUAUCAGUACUUAUGUCAAAUCUAAGUGGGUAGAAGAGCCAAUUAAAAACAAAAAGGCCUUCGAACAACUACAGCGCACAAAAGCAAAUAACCCAGCUUUAAAAAUGGGCAAAGACCUGAACAGGUAUUUCUAAAAUAUCAACAGGCAUGUGGAAAAAUUACAUCGCUAAUCACCAAGGAAAUGCAAAUGAGAACCAAAAGAAGAGAUUAUCUCACCCCAAUUAGAAUGGCUACUACUUAAAAAAACUAAGGAUAAUAUGUGUUGAGAGUAAUGUAGGAAGAAGAAACUGUUAUACACUGUUGGUGGGUGUGCUGGCUGGUGUCAAAGCCUCAUGCGGUCAUGGCAGGGUUUUUUAGAAGUGGCUGGAUCUAGAGCGUGUGAUGCUGGGAUCAAGUGUGUGAGGCUGGGAUCAAGGGUAUGUGAUUACUACAUCGUUCCACUGAUUGGCUCGGCAUAAUCCCGGGCCUGGAUAAUGGGAAGGCCCACCCUAUGUGUGAGUGCUACCUGCCCUAAAGGGCAUUGUUAUUUGUAGUGGAUUGAUGACUCGUGGUCAACUCAUAACCCCCAGCUGAACUGAGUAAGCGUGGUGCUGGGUGUGGGAGGCCCACCUGGGGACCGUUACCAGCAGCAUAAG